rnacentral:rRNA from 1 species
UACGAAGGGGGCAAGCGUUGUCCGGAAUCAUUGGGCGUAAAGAGCGUGUAGGCGGUCCGAUAAGUCGGUUGUGAAAGUCCAGGGCUCAACCCUGGGAUGCCGACCGAUACUGUCGGACUAGAGUUCGGAAGAGGCGAGUGGAAUUCCCGGUGUAGCGGUGAAAUGCGCAGAUAUCGGGAGGAACACCUAUGGCGAAGGCAGCUCGCUGGGACGUUACUGACGCUGAGACGCGAAAGCGUGGGGAGCAAACAGG